GGGCCCCCUAUAACAUAAAACAAGAACAGGCAUCUUUUUUUUUUGCCGAAAAACCCCUCCAAAGGUUUUUUCCCCAUUGAAUCCCUUGUAUUAACUACUCCAAAAAGGGUGGAAUAUUUCUCUCUUCUAAAAGCUGGCCAUUUUGGCGCGAGCCUUUGGUGUUUAUCAAGCCCCCGAUUUUUAAAAUGGCUGGGGCGUGGUCACUUUUUUUAAAUAUGACUGGAAAUAAAAUUAAACUCGACUGUUAUACGUAUAUGUUAAACGGUAAACCAGAAACGAAAGAUAUUCUAACAAAUAAACUACUUGAACCCACGAAAGCUAAGAAACAAACUAGGAUUAGAUACCCUACUAUGCUUAGCCCUAAAUUUUGGAACAACCCGCCUGAGUACUACGAGCCACAGCUUAAAACUCAAAGGACUUGGCGGUGCUCUACACCCCCCUAGAGGAGCCUGUUCUAUAAUUGAUACUCCCCGUUAAACCUCACCACUUAUUGCCAAUACCGCUUAUAUACCGCCGUCGUCAGCUCACCAUUUAAAUGAAAAAUAGCAGGCAUAAUGAUAAACAUAAAACCGUGGGGGCAGGUGUGAACUAUUCAAGGGAAAUUGUGAAAACUAUUUAAGGGGGAGUGAGGGGGAAAAAAAAAAAAAAGGGGUGUUUUUUAAAAGGGCAUAGAGGGGCGCCACCUCGCCGGUAACCCCUCUCAAAAGACCUCUCUUUUUGUUUGUAAAAAAAUAAAAGAAAAAAGGAGGUCUUACUGGUAGGCCCCUGUGGGGGGUGGGGGGGUGUUUUUGUGUUGUUUUUUGUUUUUUUUGUGGUUGGGGUGUGUUUUGUUUGUUUUGUGUGUUUUUUGUGUUUCGUGGUGUUGUCGCGUGUCGUCUUUUUUUUUCUUCCUUUGCCGGGUGUCUUCUUCUCCUUUUCCCUCCCCUGCGCCCGGGCCUUUUCUGUUUUCGUCUUGCGCGCCUUCUGUCUCCUAUCGGUGGCCG
rnacentral:rRNA from 1 species